rnacentral:rRNA from 1 species
AGCGAGAAAGGGGACUUCGGUUCCCGAGUACAGCGGCGCACGGGUGAGUAACACGUGGGUAAUCUGCCUCGGAGUGGGGAAUAACACCGGGAAACCGGUGCUAAUACCGCAUACGACCACAGAGUCUUCGGACUUUGUGAUGAAAGACUUCGGUCGCUCUGAGAGGAGCCCGCGCCCAAUUAGCUAGUUGGUGAGGUAAUGGCUCACCAAGGCAACGAUUGGUAGCCGGUCUGAGAGGACGGUCGGCCACACUGGAACUGAGACACGGUCCAGACUCCUACGGGAGGCAGCAGUGGGGAAUUUUUGACAAUGGGGGAAACCCUGAUCAAGCAACGCCGCGUGGAUGAUGAAGUAUCUCGGUACGUAAAAUCCUUUCGACAGGGAAGAAGCUCUUCGGAGUUGACGGUACCUGUAGAAGAAGCCCCGGCUAACUCCGUGCCAGCAGCCGCGGUAAUACGGGGGGGGCAAGCGUUGUUCGGAUUUACUGGGCGUAAAGGGCGCGUAGGCGGUUUGUUAAGUCGGAUGUGAAAACUGUGGGCUCAACCCAUAGCCUGCAUCCGAUACUGGCAGACUAGAGUGCGAGAGGGGAAGGCGGAAUUCCUGGUGUAGCGGUGAAAUGCGUAGAUAUCAGGAGGAACACCGGCGGCGAAGGCGGCCUUCUGGAUCGCAACUGACGCUGAGGCGCGAAAGCUAGGGGAGCAAACAGGAUUAGAUACCCUGGUAGUCCUAGCCCUAAACGAUGGAUACUUGGUGUGGGGGGAGUUGAAUUCCUCCGUGCCGGAGCUAACGCGUUAAGUAUCC